rnacentral:rRNA from 1 species
AGCAGCCGCGGUAAUUCCAGCUCCAAUAGCGUAUAUUAAAGUUGUUGCAGUUAAAAAGCUCGUAGUUGAAUUUCGGGGUUAGCAGGUCGGUCGUGCCAUCGGUAUGAACUGGUCUCGCUGAUCCCUCCCUCUUGACGAACUGUGAUGCCAUUAAUUUGGUGUCGCAGGGAAUCAGGACUGUUACUUUGAAAAAUUAGAGUGUUUAAAGCAGGCUCACGCUUGAAUACAUUAGCAUGGAAUAAUGAAAUAGGACGUUUGAUCCUAUUUUGUUGGCUUCUAGGAUUGACGUAAUGAUUAAUAGGGAUAGUUGGGGGCAUUAGUAUUCAAUUGUCAGAGGUGAAAUUCUUGGAUUUAUUGAAGACUAACUACUGCGUAAA